AAAUUAGAAGUGUAAAGUCCCAGCAAAUGAGUCCUUAUUUGGAAGUGUAAUCGGAUGAUGUUCAGCAAUCUGAGGGAAGCUUGCUCCGGCCGGUGAGAUGAUGUUCCUGUGUUCGGAGAGGUGAGCCACCUCUUGCGUGCGUUCCACUCGGAACGGUUGCUCGGUAGCUGGAUCAGUGUACGGCAGUUGCCGGAAAAUGCCUUACGCUUUUCGUGACAAUGCACAGUCACUUCUUCAGAGGCGG